AUUGAACGCUGGCGGCAGGCCUAACACAUGCAAGUCGAACGAGCGGCGGACGGGUGAGUAAUGUCUGGGAAACUGCCAGAUGGAGGGGGAUAACUACUGGAAACGGUAGCUACUACCGCAUACCAACGGAUGUGCCCAGAUGGGAUUAGCUAGUAGGGGGGGUAAUGGCUCACCUAGGCGACAAUCCCUAGCUGGUCUGAGAGGGUGAACAUCCACACUGGAACUGAGACACGGUCCAGACUCCUACGGGAGGCAGCAGUGGGGAAUAUUGCACAAUGGGCGCAAUCCUGAUGCAGCCAUGCCGCGUGUGUGAAGAAGGCCUUCGGGUUGUAAAGCACUUUCAGCGAGGAGGCGUUACUCGAAGAAGAAGCACCGGCUAACUCCGUGCCAGCAGCCGCGGUAAUAC
rnacentral:rRNA from 1 species